CUUUUCUUUUCCUCUCUGCUCUCUAUUCUUCACGCACGCUCUCUUCCUCUUCCUUUCUUCUCCUUUUCUUUUUUUUCCUCUUUCCUCUAUUCCGCACACCCCACUUAGCCGAAUCUCUCCUCUCCCCAUUUCUUCAUUCUCCUUUCUUCUGCAUACUAUCACGCACAUGGAGAUAUAGAGACCGUGAGAGAGAUUGAUCGAGUGAGAGAGAGAGCUCUAGUCGAGAGUGGUCGGAGACCCGAAAAUCCAUGGGUCCCGAUGGUUGAUGCUGUUGACACCGUGGAGCAAAGGCAUCGGUGUUCAGUGGGUGGGUUGUCUUCGGUGACCAAUUUUCGGACAAGACUUUCAGCAAUUUUUCCGGUGAGUGAGGUAGAUGUUUUUCGGUGAAAUCAGAGGUGCUGUCCGGCAAUUUUUUGUGUAAUUCUCCAGUGGCUUGGGGGAUGAUGUUUGGUGGAUGUUCAGACGAAAAUCCUCAAGGAUCGUGUCCGAAUUGGAGACUUUAAUUGGUUCUUCAAUGUAGAGUUUGAGUAACUAGAAUCCAAGCGAAUAUUCGAGUCAAAAGUCCAAUGCAGCCAAUAUGUUCCUCUGGCUGCAAGUAUUUCGGUCGUAGUUGAUGAUGUUGUAGAAGUAUGCUUGGGAUAUUAUGACUGAAGCACGCCGCUACGGUUGUAAUUGUCGGACCAUGGGUUGUCCACUAUUUUAUAGGUUUGUUUAUAUCUUGUGAUGCAUGUGUCACUUGUUAAUGUAUAAAGUCAUUUAUGUUAUGUAUUUAAUUUGAGGAAAGAUUUAAUCAUAUAGUUAUUUAAUGGCUCUUUGUUGUAAA